rnacentral:pre_miRNA from 1 species
CAAGUACUCCCUUCGUCUUAAAGUUAUUGUCUUAAUUUGUCUAAAUAUAAAUAUAUCUAAUCAUUUGUUAGUAUUUAGAUGCAUCCAUAUCUAAAAAAAUGUAAGACAAAAAUUUUAAAACGAAGGGAGUACUAC